AUCAGUGCCGUCACUCUUCGGUAUCAGGAGGCAUGGAGAGCUCCAGGGGCUGCAGCUGGCUUGAGCCAAUCCAUGCUCCACCAAAUACUCAACCUCUCCCCGCAUACGCUCUCUCUUCACUGAGUUCAUGCGGUACGCAUGUUGCUUGACCGGAACAGCAUCCCCCACGUUAAUAUCAUGCUCUAAUACUGUGGUGCGUGAAGGUACCGGAUUGUUUUCCAUUGCCGCGGAUGGAGGACUGCAUUGACAACAUCGGCACGACACGAAAACACUUAUCCAAAACAGUCUGAAAUGCACAACAAUCUGGGUGCCGGAGAGCAGCCCACAAUCGGCGGCCCUGAGCGUCAGCAAUACUGAGAGAGGGGUCCCAGAGAAUGAGCCCGCCGUCCCUCUUAAGCAGCGUCUCCGUCUCCUGAUUGGCCCUCGUCCUCCGCCCCACUGACGACCGAUCCGCCAGUCACAGCGACCUAGAGGAGGGGCAAUUCACAGGAAACCAAUCAAAGUGUAAUCAAACAAUAAACAACACUCCUGCAGUGCACGGGGAACGUAACAGUUAUAUUCAUAAACAAACAUUAUUAGAUUUCUAUUAUUGAUGAACAUUAGAAUGGCACAUUAUUCAAUUAUUUUCGUAUAUUCACAUGUAUUAUGAUACAUAUGGCAAGCGGUGAAUCAGGCAAACAUUUAUAUCAGCAUUUAGUAUGAAUUCUACAAAAGCCAUAAACCUUUCCCGUUCUUUAAUCAUGUCAAUGCGUAUGUACUAUGGCUUAUGAUUGCUAAAUAUGUAAAAUAUUACGGUACAUUCAUUACAUUAAUUACUUUGAAUCAGUCAUUCUGGUAUUUUGACCUGUGUUUAAUAACAGCUGCCCCUUCCAAGUGCCAUAGACUCAAAAAAGGCUGUGUAAUGUCGCCAUAGCAACCAUCUGUUUCACUCCAAUGUCUCUUUGUCAUAAUGCAGAAAGGAGGAUUAAAAGUAGAGUGACUCCAGGCGGGCAUGACUUCUUUUGUUCAGGUCCCAUCACAUUAUGUACAAAAAGGGGACAUCUUUGUUUGCUUUAACCUUGUAGACAUUCUUUGACAAAUGUCAUACAGAACAAACAGUGACAACAACCUGGCAGUUCCUACUGUGGAAUUUAUUGACUGAUCAUGCAGUCAACUAUGGCACCAUAACAGAUCCCUUGGUGUAAUAUAGGUUUUCCGAGCUGAUGGAAUUCUAAAUAUCUAUCUUUUGGGAAAAUAAUAUUGUGUUGUUUCCAAGCACCAAGGAACCUCGGGUAGAAUGGUGUCGGCGUUGUCUCCCUAUCGAAGAGGUGAUCCAGUCCUGGCCGCAGGAGCUGCCGCGAUCUAUCUUCUGCCAGAGCCUCGACCGAGGUUGGCGGCGAAGCCAUAUCUAAUAUUAAUAAAUGUUGAAAGUAUUUUAAAACACUAUGCAGCUCUUCGUUCAAAAUGUUAAUGUUCUUGGUUUCCAGGUGAAAGUCUAUUUCAAUAAUUCGAAAACGACGAUGCCAGUGAUGUAGUUAACAUAUUGACAGGAAACUAUGGAGAACUUUAAUGUGUCACAUUCAUGUUAUAUGUGACAAUCUACCAUUGACCUGUAUGACCAUCAUACCUACUAACCAAACAGAAUGUUAGUAAAGAAAGGUUCUCACAAUGGAAUGGCAAAAACAGAAUGUUGGUACGGCAAAUAAAACAGAAAUUUUAAAGGUUUGAACACAGCACCACUGAUUGUUUGCCCUCACAGAUUGUAUUAGAAAUGUUAAUCUUGAGGGGGAAGAUGGUCAAGCUGAAACUGAAGGAGGCAGACUGGCCUUAUGUUAAAACUAAAUAAAGAAAUGCUUCAUGGUGGGUCUGUUUCCCUGACAGUCUGGGGACAGACCUGGCUGAUGGCUCUUGAUCUCAUCUUUCACAGGGGGGGUAUUCGACAGGAGAGGAGAGGGAAACAGACAGCACUCAGAGGUAGGUCUCUCCGUGGCGUUCUUCUAGAAAGGUUACUUGUGCUUUGAGAUAAAUAAAACAACACCUGGCUCUUAGAGGAGCUGCCGGCUCCAUGCCAAUUCCUGCAGAGAGACAGAGGUCCCAGGUGCCAAGCACAGCAACCACUUUGAGCGGCCUGAGGCUGAACAUUACACCCUUUAUCCUUAGGAUGUGCUCACUACACACACACACACACACACACACACACACACACACACAUACAUCUGACAAUAUAUUUUCUUCUCUUUGCUCUAAUAUCAUAGAAUGCAAAAAACAGAAAAGGCACAUAGACCUACACUAUCUAUGCCAUUAUAUCAAAGAAGAUGGUUGAUCUUAUUUUUUCUCAACUGACGGGCAGGAGAUCAUGAAUCCAUAAAUAAGGAAUUUAAGACCAUAAAAUGUAUAUUUGAACCACUUCUGUCAUACGAACUGAAGUUUAUGUCUUCGUUCUGUACACAUGACAACCAUUGCAUUCUGUCCAACACAGGAGAGGGAUCUGCCGUUCUACCUGAAGUUCUCUCCCCAUCAAAAGGUUUUUUGUUUUAAUGGGGAUUUUUUCCAAUGUUUUAUGUGAGGGUUUCAGCACAGGGGAUGUCACAUGAAUACAAACUAUAAAGCCCUCUGAGGCAAAUUUGUAAUUUUGGGGUAUAGAAAAUAAAAAUAAUUAAAUAUUCAUUUUAAGUGCCUCCCCAUAAACAUUCAGAUUAUAUUUCUUUAAAUGUUUCUGCUGGCAGUAAACUUAAUAGAAUGUAUCAUCCAAUGAGAUCUUGCCAUGAUUAUCUCAACUCUUACACACUAAAAACAAGCCCAAAGAGUAUCUAAUUUAUACAAACAGCACGGCAUGCAGCGGUUUUCCCAAUGUUCUCCGCAUAGCCAACACUGUACAAAAAUGUACAGAGACAGUCUCUGAGAAGUACGGCUGAAGAAGGUCUUCUUAUGAAUAUGAAGAGAUUAUAAAUGAUUCCUUGUUGGCAGAUAUCGCAUCACAAUGACUUAUAUGAGCACUAACGAAUUUUGGCGAUCUCAAAAAACUCUUUCCAUAUUAAACACUACUCUGACUAAUAUUGCUCCUUCAUUGAUGGGAUCUUAAGAGCAGUGUUGGGAAGGAUACUUUCAAAACAUAUUCCGUUACAGAAUACAUGCCCAAAAAUGUAAUCUGAAACAUUCCGACAUUAACUAAUCUGAGUAUUGCAUUCUGAAUACUUUGAAUACUGAAUACUACAUUGAAUUGCAUUUUAUAAAUGUAGGAAUGCGGGCAUCAAAUCCUACUUACCAAACAGGCCUAUUCUGGUGUGUUCUUCUGUUCCAACUGGCUGAAUGUGUUGGACCCAAGUCUAACACAUUUUUGUGUUUGUAGUCCCGAACUGCAUACUACAAAAAUCAAACCGCUGUUUAAGCGAACACGAGCUAAUUUUAGCUAACGUUAGCUAGCAUGUCAAACAGGGCUAAUCAGUCUUUCAACGGCUCCGGGGCUCGUAUACCAGCACGUAGGAGAAAGUGCGGAUUGUGGACGGGCCUCCGGGUGACUGCCGCGCCGCUAGGGAUCCAUAUCGAUGGCUGUACCACUUGCCGGUCAGAUAGUCAGCGCCAGCGUAAAAUAAAAUAAAACGUGUUCUGAACCAACCUGCAGUGGUCAUUCCGGAACCCAUAGGAUCCACACCCAUUACACCCCCCAACACUGCUUAAGAGGAAGAGCGUUGCCCUUUUUUCGCAGGGAGUGGGAAGCUUAUCCAGCUAACUGAAGUUACCCUGCGCUGGAGCAGGUUCAAGUUUGUGGAUAUGUUCCUAUGGUGUUUUUGCCAAACUUGCUUUGUGGAACCGAAAAGCCUGACUUAUGUGAUCUUAUCCUGUAAAUUAUCUAACUUAGUCAGGAACAGGGGCCCAGGUCCAUGUAAAGUAUAUGACAGAUGUGUUUCUAAACCAACUAAGUGCAUUGUUUCCAAUGCGUGAGGCUUUGCAUCUUUUCCCUUCUUUCCCGUGAUUAGUUUAAUUUUUUCCAAAAUUAAACUAAUCACAAAACCUGCCAAAACAUUGUCAGUCUUUAUUAAUCAGUAUCGUUCAGACGGGGCCUAUAUUUGUGAUGGAUAAUUAAGUAUGAAACAACUAACUGAUGAUGUUGCUUUGAAACCUGUCUUUGGUUUGGGUACUGUGACGACCCUCCUCCUCCUCGACCAUUAGGUGUCCCUGCUUUAUCUGUCGCAGGUGCUGAUUGGAGGGGGUCAGCUGGACGAGCCACACCUGCGCUGGUUUGGCCAUAUUAUUUAAGUCUUCAUUUGGCAGCCUCAGUCAGUGUUGCAAGGUCCGCGGUUUUCCCGCGGAAUUGGGCUACUUUUGUUGCCGCGGGUUGAAUUUUUUGUCCGCUGGUUCGGGUAGACCUAUUUUGCAUGCAAAUUACAUGAAUAUCUUUAAAUAAAAAUCCAUAUUUUAAAUGAAAUAAUUUAUUUAUACCCAAAUCCUACCAAACUGACUCCAGAUCAGCACGUACACACAUGGACAUGGGACACGCCCACAUAGUUCAAGUUCAAUUUUAUUUAUAUAGCAUUUAUAUAUAUUUAAAAACAACCUCAGUUGACCAAAGUGCUUAACAAGCUUGAAAAGCAGCGAUACAAUAAAACACAGACAGAGCACAAUGUACAAUACAAAAUAUCUGACAGUAGAGAAGAACAAAGUCAAAAUAUCAAAGCUCAACUUGAAUUAAAAGCCAAUGAAUAAUAGUGGAUCUUAAGGAGGGACUUGAACGUUGCAAUGGUCCAAGCUGUUCUUACAUGGAUAGGUAAACUAUUCCAGAGGUUUGGAGCAGACAUACACAUACACAUAACGCUCUCAGUCUCCCGCUCGAUCCCAACUCUGGUCUGGUAGUUAGUGUAGCUAGCUAGCUAGCACCCCUGGAGAAACAUGACACCCGGUAAGUGGGCUAAAUACGGGAAGAAAUAUACGAAAGAAUGAGAAAGUGAAAACGGAAUUAAAGAAUGGAUAGAACGUGUGGCUGGGGAUGAUACCAAAGCUUUUUGUCGGUACUGCAAAACCGAGAUUCGUGCGCACCACAGUGAUCUCUAAAACCACAGCAAAACGGAGAAACACAUUCGAAAUGCUGCUCCGUUCUCCAGUUGUUGAGUGCGUACAUUGUUUGACAGUAGCAUAACCACAGUGAGAAUUGACCGCUCUGUCAAGUUAGCCGAGCUUAAAAUGGCAGCGCACAUUGCUUGCCAUUCAAGCAUUUUGACCAUGGAUCACCUGGGAGAGCUUGUUGGUGAAAUUGCACAGAAGGACAUCAAACUGCACAGGACAAAAUGCUCUGCACUCAUAAAAAACGUAAUCGGGCCAGACAUGCAGCACCAGCUUCUAAAGGAUAUAGGGGAAGAACUGUAUUCUUUAGUUAUUGAUGAAAGUACCAACGUGGGCAUGCAAAAACAGCUUGCUGUUGUAAUAAGAUACUACAGCCAAACACAGCAGCGCAUUGUGUCUACUUUAGCUGGUAUCAAAAACAGAAGCAUUUCUGAAUUUUUUGCAAGAAUGCAAGCUGUGUCCAAAACGAUGCAUCGGGCUCGCAACCGAUGGAUGCAAUUCUAUGUGCGGCAAGAACCAUUCACUUCUCACAAAAUUUCGAGAGCACAACCCCAACGUUGUGUUUGUGAAAUGUGUGUGUCACUCGAUUCAGCUGUGCUCCUCAUAUGCAAUGCGUGUGUUGCCGAAAAAUGUUGAAUACCAGAUUUCGCAAACUUAUGCGUGGUUUUCACACCGUACUCUCCGCCAGCAAAACUACAAGCAACUCAAUGAAACAAUUAACGUUGGAGAAGCUCCACUAAAAAUCCUCCAACUUUCAGACACAAGGUGGCUAGCUGUCAGCGCGUGCCUGAAUCGGGUGCUCGACCAGUACGAUGAGCUCAGACUGCACUUCCAGUUGGCAAAAGACAAGGACCGAAGCUACAGUGCAGAGAUUGUCUUUCAGAUGUACUCAGAUCCUGUCGACAAACUUAAUGAGCAAACUUAAACUUAAUGUUCCUUCAGCCCAUCGUCCAAGAGGCAAACCGAGUGAACAAAAUGUUUCAGAUGGAAAACACAAAUCCAUGCAGGCUUUUCCACGAACUCAUCACGUUCUAUCUGAGCCUGCUACGAAGAGUCACAAAAAUCAGCACCGUGGUCGUGGACAGCUCAAGGUGGACAGAGAUCAUAGCCUUUGACGAGGCCAUUGAAACCAACCAAUGUUUCUUUCUUGAAUUAAUGGGCAGCAAGGGAAGUUGUGACAUUGUGCCACUUGGAUUUCUCAGGACUUUUGAUAUGUUACAAAUGGCAUAUUAAUGAGACUGUGAAGAGCAUUUAUUUUUUGCAACUUGUCUUUUUGCUUUUUGGACUUCCAGUACCUUAACCAAUGUAUAAGGUGUAUGCGGCAUAGUGGAAGAAAAAGAAAAGCCCCAAACACUCCAAAGGUGUUUUUAUUCUUUUGAACUUGUUCAAAGAAACAGUUCAAACUUUCAGCCACUGGCCAACCAAGGAUGCGCUGAAGUUGCCCUAGCAACAGCCGAUUUGUCCUAUUUGGCUUAGCUUCUACCCCUCCCACCCCUGCAAGACCUCAAGGACCUCACCUUUUUGUGCUGAUCACUGAUAAGAGGACUAAACAGUAACUUAACGCGUAAUCCUCUUUGCUUUCAAGCAGUCAUCAGAUGUAAAAGCAGGAUAAACCUAUUUCAGAAAUAAUUGGCAUUCAUUGACGUACAGCCACAGUGAACCAUUUCCCCCAGUGCACAAGUAUCAUUUUUGUAAUCUGCAUUUUCAAUUUCAUAUUAUACUCUUUCGGGGAGGUGGUCACACAGUGUCACAGAUAAAUAUUCUAAACGGUUAUAAUGAAAAUAGUGAUCAAAGUUUCCAGUAAACUACCUCAGUCGCAGGCAGGGGAAUUGCAUCUGGCUUUGACACCUGCACAGCUGGCGUUUAGUGAAACUCGUCGGUGCGCAGUCCGAUUAUGCAGACAGCUUCUCUCGGAUCCUUGGUGUUUUACGUCGACCAGACAUUUGUUAUUUAUGCCUGUUAUCUGUUGAGUCAGGUUUUCCUGACUCAAUAAAUAGUAUUUCUUAAAUCACUUCACUGCCAUGCGCUUUGUGAAUGUUUACACUUAGUAUACGGGCGCUUUUGAGUUAUUGGAGGACAAGAAAUGAGUUGUAUGAAUACCAUUUCAACCCAUUUAUCAUUUCACAUUCUAAAAUACAAACAAUAGGAAUUAAAAAGUUACAAAAUUGGUUGUUUUAAGGUUUGAACAUUAAUUUAGAUGUCAAUUUUGUUUAAAACUUUACAGAACGUGUUUUAUUUUGGGAUGUUUAUUGUGAGACGACCGGAGGCAUUACAAAAUCUGAGAAAAAAGGUUUAGGGUGAUCGAGUAGAGGUGGAGCUGUUCAUCGAGGGACGUGAGAAAUAAAUUCAAUUCAGCUGGUCUGUCAACCCCGUCAUCAGAGCUGCCAAGCUGGCAGACGCACUGUUAUUUCUUGCACAAUCAUUAUUUUGGAAAAGUCAUUCAUGUAAAAGAAAUCUACAGUGAGCAAUGCACUGAAUCGAGAACAUGAAAUCAAAAAACAUGAGAAAGCAGAAGGGAUCACAAAGGAUAGUGUCAGGACCAGGGUCCCGAAGGAACCACGAUCUAUGGAGACCUGGUAGGGGCGAAAGCACAAAAAAAACUCCCGGAAAGAAGCUGAAUUAGUCAUGUGCAUUAAUAAAACUUGAAUUAUGGUAGAAAGAGAGCGUGAGAGAGGAGCUCGGUGUGUCC
ensembl:lncRNA